AAGUGAAGAAUUCGAGCAACUUAACUGCUCAUCAUUGUUCGGUGUCCCGCAUUGGUUGAAUUGAGGGUUUAAGAGUCCUUUUUUUGCUGUACGUAUUUACAACAUCUUGGUGCAUAGUAAUGAAAUCUCUACCUUCCUAUUAAAAAAUUGUCGCACGUUGGUUGAGGGUAUGGGUUAUUGUAUUCUUACCCUCACUCACCUCAUUAGCUAGCUUUUGUGGUUGAAUUAGAUUCAAUAUCAAUGUUUUUAACAUGGUACCAGAGUUAGACUUAGACUUAGACCUAUCCCAAUUCUUCUUUUACCCAAUGUUGGGCCCCCAUUUAUAGUGUCUAAAGUCCAGAAAUCCAGCCCCAGGCAUAUGACAAGAGUUAAGGGUACCACAUUGGUUGAGCAACUCUCACCUCAUGAUCUAGCUUGCGAGGUUGAUUAGACGCAUUACCAUUUUCUCAACAAUCAUGAUAGGUGACGUGGUCAAUGUCAACUUAGUAGAGGAUACUGUGUUACUAGGAGUCUAUGCAUUUGUUUCUCUACCAAUGAGACUGUCAGCUUGCUUACCAUACGGAGAAAUAGCAAUUUUUGCUCUGUGAUAUCUGAUUGUUGAUGAUCAUGACUUAAGGACGGACUUGGUUCCUGCUUAUGUGCGUUUGCUGCGGGAUAAUGAAGCGGAAGUGCGUAUAGCUGCUGCAGGGAAAACCACCAAAUUCAGUCAGAUUCUUAGUCCUGAGCUUUCUAUACAGCAUAUUCUUCCGUGUGUGAAGGAAUUGUCAUCCGACUCAUCGCAGCAUGUUAGAUCUGCUUUGGCUUCUGUUAUAAUGGGGAUGGCUCCUGUCCUGGGAAAGGAUGCAACCAUUGAACAUCUUCUUCCAAUUUUUCUUUCUCUUCUGAAGGAUGAGUUUCCUGAUGUGCGCCUCAACAUCAUUAGCAAACUUGAUCAAGUCAAUCAGGUUGAUUGUAUUUUCAAGCCUUGUGCUUUCUAGCUCCUUUUGGUUCAUGCUUUCUGUUCGUUAUGAGUGUUUCUUUGUGACUGAUAAGCUCACAGAGGAAGAAGGAAAUUGAAGAUCAAUGAAGUCGUGUAGUUAACUUAGUAUAGUGGGAUGCCACUUUGCCUUCUUGUUCCUAUAAAAUUUCUUGAUCAUCUUUCAGUUCUAGGAUAUAGAUAUCAAGAUGCAUUCUUAUCUCUAUUACCGAGACGAGUUGGGGAAGACCAGACUGGUUCAGGAUCUAUAGAUGAAUUUUGUUUUCAGGCUAUUCAUUUCAUGAGUCUAUGGUGGAGAUUAGUGGUGGCAAAUGGGCGAGCUGGGUCAAAUUUGGGUGGGUUGAAAACGGGUCAACAUAAAAUGGGUAAUAAUUCAACCCGUGCAUAUUUCAUAAGGGUAAAAGUGGGUUGGCGGACAAACGGGUUGGGUAAAAAACAGUUGACCCAUAUUUACCCAUUUCCACGAGUAA